GACGAACGCUGGCGGCGUGCCUAAUACAUGCAAGUUGAGCGCUGAAGGAUGGUACUUGUACCAACUGGAUGAGCAGCGAACGGGCGAGUAACGCGUGGGGAAUCUGCCUUUGAGCGGGGGACAACAUUUGGAAACGAAUGCUAAUACCGCCUCAAAACUUUAACCGCAAGAUUUAAGUUUGAAAGAUGCCAUUGCAUCACUCAAAGAUGAUCCCGCGUUGUGUUAGCUAGGUGGUGAGGUAAAGGCCCACCAAGGCGAUGAUACAUAGUCGACCUGAGAGGGUGAUCGGCCAAAUUGGGACUGAGACACGGCCCCAACUCCUUCGGGAGGCAGCAGUAGGGAAUCUUUGGCAAUGGACGGAAGACUGACCGAGCAAAGCCGCGUGAGGGAAGAAGGUUUUCGGAUUGUAAAACUCUGUUUGUAGGGAAGAACGUUGGUGAGAGUGGAAAGCUCAUCAAGUGACGGUAACUACCCAGAAAGGGACGGCUAACUACGUG
rnacentral:rRNA from 1 species